UUCUUCAAGAACACAAGCCUAGACCAUUACAUAUUUGGUACCUUAAACUAAACCCCAAACAAAUGUAUCUCUCUAUUUAUAGUAACUU
rnacentral:sRNA from 1 species